rnacentral:sRNA from 1 species
GUUGGGUGCAGUGCUGUGCAUCUGCAGUCCCAACUAUCAGGGAGGCUGAGGGGGAAAAUCACUGGAGUCCAGGAAUUCAAGACCAACGUGGACAACACAGUGAGACCCUGUCUCAA